rnacentral:tRNA from 1 species
CGCGGUCUGCCACGGCCUCCUCGCGGGCUGGGACCUGCGGCGCCUCAUCGCGUUCGCGGGCGCGGCGGGGGCGAUCGUCGCGUCCCGCCUCGCC